rnacentral:rRNA from 1 species
GAUGAACGCUGGCGGCGUGCCUAAUACAUGCAAGUCGAGCGAACGGACGAGAAGCUUGCUUCUCUGACGUUAGCGGCGGACGGGUGAGUAACACGUGGAUAACCUACCUAUAAGACUGGGAUAACUUCGGGAAACCGGAGCUAAUACCGGAUAACAUGUUGAACCGCAUGGUUCAACAGUGAAAGACGGUCUUGCUGUCACUUAUAGAUGGAUCCGCGCCGCAUUAGCUAGUUGGUAAGGUAACGGCUUACCAAGGCAACGAUGCGUAGCCGACCUGAGAGGGUGAUCGGCCACACUGGAACUGAGACACGGUCCAGACUCCUACGGGAGGCAGCAGUAGGGAAUCUUCCGCAAUGGGCGAAAGCCUGACGGAGCAACGCCGCGUGAGUGAAGAAGGUCUUCGGAUCGUAAAACUCUGUUAUUAGGGAAGAACAAAUGUGUAAGUAACUAUGCACGUCUUGACGGUACCUAAUCAGAAAGCCACGGCUAACUACGUG